AUGGAAACGAGACAGAGGUGACGGUGACUACAGAGAAGCAUUCUGCAUAGAUUCCCAUCCCGACAGUUUACAUUUGCUCAAGAUUAUGAUCUUCAUUGUCUUGAGUUGCCCUCAUAAAACAAAGUUCUCAGUAAAUUAUACUGCCUUCUAGCUGCUGUCUGCGUGAUAUGUGAAGUACAGCUAAUGGACAGGAUUCAAGCACUGUCCAAGUCUUCUUGGAACAGGACAAGAAAUCAUGAGCUACAACUUCAGCAAAGGAACAGCAGUAGGAGUGGAAACUCUAGAGUCAGCCAGUCACUGCACAUGUUAGGUGGACCUUCACUGAUGGGGAAUUUCAGGAAAAAAUCUUGGGUUAGAAGCUGCCAAGUUGGAGCGGAAAGCAAUGAUACCUCAAGGUUUGUAUUAGUUUUAAACCCAAAGACAAACUUUAUAAUGAAAUCAGAAAUCAGCCUGCAAGACAUUCCCUUCUUUUACCAUAGGGUAAAAUAAACUUAACUAUAGUGGUCAUUUGUUUCUUGUAUUUUCACCACCUUUUGUUUAUCUGAAUGCAAUGUGCUUCUGUGUAUGUAUGAAUGUAUGUGGUAGGAUAAGUGGAAGAAAUUAGAGCUUUUCCCUCCUGUUGCCUUUUUGCAGUUCCCCUUCUGAAGUUUUUGAAACUGUUCAAGAAACAGUAGGAUGAACAACUCUUGGUCAUUUUUUGUCUUUUUAUUCUGUGACUCUCAAGUUGAAAAGAAGAAAAAUAACCUGGAUUUACAAAUCAAUCAUGGGGCAAUAAUGAAUUGUAAACCUGUUGAAGAUGCGGAAAAGGUAAACGUGGAAUCAGAAUAUCCCAAGUUGGAAGUGACCCAUAAGGAUCAUCAAGUCCUACUCCUAAGGUAAUGCUAACAUAUAUAUCGGAAGAUAAAAUUGCUACAGGGAGAGCAAAGAUUUCAUAUUUGUGUAAGCUUAUUGGGAAAGUCACAAACCAGCCCACUCACCUUCACUAAAGCGAGAUGGGCACAACAUGAAACACAUGCAGGAAAAGGCUGCAGGUAUUGUCAGAGUUAAGGAGAGCUUCUUUUAAUAGAAAAACUAGAAGAGACUGGCUUGCACCGAAAGCUGAGUAGGAGUCUGCCUGGUCUACAGACUCUUCCUCUAGACAAGCAGCAGGGAAGAGCUAUUUUAGCUGCAGGAUAAAGCUGGCACUAGGACAAAGAGCUAAAAACUCAUUUCAUAUCAUGUUGGCUGGAAAUGCAAACAUUUCUAAGCAUUGAAGCCAAGGAGGUUUUGAAACAGCCUCCCAAAAAAUCCAGCAGGUUUGGAGUUGUCCAUGUGUGAACAAGACUACAGCAAGGUCCUGGAGUUCAAGGUACAGAAGACUCUAUAGUUAUAUAUCAUAUUAUCAUAGAAUGGUUUGGUUUGAAAGAGGCCUUAAAGGUCAUCUACUUCCAGGCCCCAGCCAUGGACCUGGCUGCCACCCACAAGAUCAAGCUGCCCAGAGCCCCAUUCAGCCUGGCCUUCAGCACCUCCAGAGAACAUCCAUGGCUUCUUUGGGCAAUCUAUUCUGUCUGAGAAAGAUAUCCAAGCCAAAUCUCUCUGGAAAAGUACUGAUGGAAUUCUCAAGCAUUUGGGAAUUUACUCUUGGAUCAUUUUUUCUGCCUUUCCUUUCAUUCAUGUUGGGAUUCAUGGCACCAUUCCUUUGCUAGAGCUGGCUUCAUUUCAGUACUGCAUGGGUAAAAUGCCUUUAUGUGGAGGUUAAGAAUCUCUUUUGCUAGUCUUAGUUAAAUAAAAAUAAUACAACAGGGGCUCUUUUGCAGUAAAUAAACAUUUGGAGUCCAGAGUUUUUCUGUUCACAAGCUCACCUGCCUUUUUCAGUAACAUACUGCAAGUGAUUUCACUUUUUUUUUAAUAAGUUGAUUUUUCAUCCUUUUUUUUCUUUUUCUAACACAAUCUAAAGUCCAUUUGUAUAUUUUAAGGAUGCUAUUAGCAAUGACAGCAAUAAAGUUCUUUUACUGGUUU
ensembl:lncRNA